UAAACACGUGCGGAAAACAUGAUCAAAAACUUGAGAGUCUGUGCGGCUCGUCGCUUAGCGGGUGCGGCAACUCAAUCUUCCAGAGGGGUCAUCUUGAGAGGGUGGCUCCGCCGACAAAUUAUGUGACGGACCGGAUGCGCU
ensembl:ncRNA F55G1.18 ncRNA